rnacentral:tRNA from 1 species
CAAAGUGUAGCUUAACUAAAGCGUCUGGCUUACACCCAGAAGAUUUCACUGCCCGUGGCCACUUUGA